ACACGUAGGGGGCAAGCGUUGUGCGGAUUUAUUGGGCGUAAAGAGCUCGUAGGCUGUUCAGUAAGUCGGGUGUGAAAAUCCAAGGCUCAACCUUGGGACGCCACCUGAUACUGCUGUGACUAGAGUCCGGUAGAGGAGUGUGGAAUUUCUGGUGUAGCGGUGAAAUGCGCAGAUAUCAGAAGGAACACCAACGGCGAAGGCAGCACUCUGGGCCGGUACUGACGCUGAGGAGCGAAAGCGUGGGGAGCAAACAGGAUUAGAAACCCCAGUAGUCC
rnacentral:rRNA from 1 species